CACUACUAUCCCAACAAAGAGAAAGAAAAUAGUGAUAACUCCCCACAUUUGACCAGAAAAGGGUCUUAGGAAGGCCCAACCACCUGAGUUCAACUUUUUGAAUGGGGCCACAACAACAAGUCCAGAUGCAGCAUAUGGUUGUGUGAAAUCGACAACUCUAGUUCGAUUUGUAACUAUUGCGAUAUCACCAACAACACCAUCAAAACAUAUGGCUGUGUGAAAUCGACAACUCUAGUUCGAUUUGUAACUAUUGCGAUAUCACCAACAACACCAUCAAAAUUCUGGGAGCACACAAGAACAGUUAAUUUGUAACAUAGUUAGAAUAGCCUAGUCUUAGGUAAUUAUGGAUAUAGCACC
rnacentral:lncRNA from 1 species